CGGACGGGUGAGUAAUGCCUAGGAAUCUGCCUGGUAGUGGGGGACAACGUUUCGAAAGGAACGCUAAUACCGCAUACGUCCUACGGGAGAAAGCAGGGGACCUUCGGGCCUUGCGCUAUCAGAUGAGCCUAGGUCGGAUUAGCUAGUUGGUGAGGUAAUGGCUCACCAAGGCGACGAUCCGUAACUGGUCUGAGAGGAUGAUCAGUCACACUGGAACUGAGACACGGUCCAGACUCCUACGGGAGGCAGCAGG
rnacentral:rRNA from 1 species